rnacentral:rRNA from 1 species
CCUACGGGCGGCAGCAGUGGGGGAUAUUGCACAAUGGGGGAAACCCUGAUGCAGCGACGCCGCGUGGGUGAAGAAGCGCCUCGGCGCGUAAAGCCCUGUCAGCAGGGAAGAAAAUGACGGUACCUGAAGAAGAAGCCCCGGCUAACUACGUGCCAGCAGCCGCGGUAAUACGUAGGGGGCAAGCGUUAUACGGAUUUACUGGGUGUAAAGGGGGCGCAGACGGCGAGGCAAGCCAGGAGUGAAAGCCCGGGGCCCAACCCCGGGACUGCUCUUGGAACUGCGUGGCUAGAGUGCAGGAGGGGCAGGCGGAAUUCCUGGGGUAGCGGUGAAAUUCGUAGAUAUCAGGAGGAACACCGGUGGCGAAGGCGGCCUGCUGGACUGCAACUGACGUUGAGGCCCGAAAGCGUGGGGAGCAAACAGGAUUAGAUACCCCAGUAGUC